rnacentral:lncRNA from 1 species
AGUGACUUCGCCGCUGCUGUAGUUCCCCGGCUGGAUGCGGUGACUGGUGCCAGUGCUCAGGCGCCCGCUGCCCUUGACCUCCCGCCCCGCGAGCCCUAACUCAGCGCAGGAGGACCGGCUGCCGCCGCCGCCGCCGCCAGUGGCUGCUGGGAAAAACCUUCGACACCUUCUGCCCUCUGGGCCCUGCCUUGGUGACCAAGGACAGUGUAGCAGAUCCACACAACUUAAAGAUCUGCUGUCGAGUGAAUGGGGAAGUGGUCCAGAGCAGCAACACCAACCAGAUGGUAUUCAAGACAGAGGACCUGAUAGCCUGGGUGUCCCAGUUUGUUACCUUUUACCCAGGGGAUGUCAUCCUGACUGGGACCCCCCCACCUCCACCCAGGUGUCGGUGUAUUCAGGAAACCUCCUGUCUUUCUCAAGGUCUCUGAAGGUCCAGACAGCACUGAUGGCGAGCUUUGGGUCCGCACACUCUGGAAAGAAGAGAGAAGUGAAGGCUCUAGGUAGGGAGAACAGAGAGCCACUGGGCACAGGCUUCUCUCCUCUUGUUUAAAGAAGCCCAGGGAGGGAUAGAGCUCUGACUGGACAGAAGACUGUACUCUGCAGCCUGCCUUCCUAGAGUUGGGUUGUCACUGUCCUGCAGGGGGCAGCAGCCACCAGCAAACACCACUGCCUGCAGGAGCCUGGGCUGACUGGUUGGGACUCACCGAAGAUCCCUUCUUCCUGGGCGGUGGCCUGCAGGAACUGGAACAGCUGCUCUGUGUAGCCCAACUCUGCAGAAGAGAGAAGACCUAGACCUGGCACCCAGCACAGACACAGCCUGCCUCGAGGACUGCAAGGGAACAAGGGCCUCACCAGUAUCGGGCAGCUGGCCCUGGCGGAGGAAGGCGGCAGCCUGUGCAAAGGCCUUGAGCAGCGGGCUGAGCAGGCGGCAGAGGAAAAGAAAGAAAUCUGGGCAGUGUGACUGCUGGCUGAGCUGGAGGGGACAGGCCGGGGUGAGUGCAGCUCCCCACCGCCUCCCUACCACCUCCCUCCAGGGGCAGCUUUUUGAAACACACCCUGAAGUACCGGCCGUCAGCCUCUCCGAAGUCAUCACUGUCACUAUCAGUAAAGUCCCCACUCGGUUUCCACA